GUCUACGGCCAUGCCACUCUGAAUGUGCCCAAUCUCAUCUGAUCUUGGAAGCUAAGCAAGGUUGGGCCUGGUUAGUAGUUGGAUGGGAGACCACCUAGGAAGACCAAGUGCUGUAGGUG
rnacentral:rRNA from 1 species